AUGAACAAUUUCGAAGUAUUUGCAAAAAACACAUUCUACAUGUUUCUUGUUGCCCCCCUUGCUAAGAUUGUCUGUAGUCGUGAUCUUCAACCGAAGAAAUAUUAUGAACAGUUCCCAUACAUUUUAGAGGAUAUACAUGAGGAUUUCACAGGGCAUCCUUCAGCGUGCAUGCUCCAAAGAAGAAGAAAAAAUGCCAAACAAUCACCACUGUUUCAAGCUUGUCCAUGCAUAUGCAAGAUAUGGAUGCAAGUAAGAUUGAUUUUUUUAUCCCAGAUACGAUGCAUUGUUAGACGCUGGUAA
rnacentral:rRNA from 1 species